rnacentral:rRNA from 1 species
UACAGAGGUCUCAAGCGUUGUUCGGAUUCAUUGGGCGUAAAGGGUGCGUAGGCGGCCCUUUAAGUCUGACGGUGAAAUGCCGGGGCUCAACCCCGUGCCCGCCGCGGAUACUGGAGGGCUGGAGACACGUAGAGGCAAGCGGAAUUCCGGGUGUAGCGGUGGAAUGCGUAGAGAUCCGGAAGAACACCGGAGGCGAAGGCGGCUUGCUGGGCGUAGUCUGACGCUGAGGCGCGAAAGCGUGGGGAGCAAACGGG